rnacentral:sRNA from 1 species
GCGGUUUGCCAAAGCCCUAUAUAAAGCACCUCUAAGGACAAACAAAGAGGACACGCACAAAAACGCUCUCAACUUUAGGCUAUCAAAAACGCUCUGACUUUGAAGGCAAAACACUUAUUUUCUAUAUUUCUAAACACUUGUACGAUCAAAUCAUCAUUAUCUCAAUAACAUAAUCAAGAACACUGUCCACGGUAAUCAACAAUUCUGUUGUUCUUUGAGAAUCUCACAGAGAUCCGUUCUUUGAAAGAACCCUAAAUACAAUUUCGGUUGUGCGAGUUUCGACUCUC